CACAGUGUCCCUGUGUAUUAGUCGGAGUUCUCCAGAAAAACAGAACCUAUGUAUAGAUAGGUAUAUAGGUAGAUACAUACAGUUGACACGUGAACAACACAAGGGCUAGUAAAAUAUCUGCAAUAACUUAACCCUACUGUUGACUGCAAGCCUUACUGAUAACAUAAAUGGUCAAUUAACACAUACUUUGUAUGUUAUCUGUAUCAUAUACUCUAUUCUUACAAUAAAGUAAGCUAGAGAAAAGAAAAUGUUAAGACCAUAAUAAAGAGAAAAUACAUUUAUAGCACUGUGCUGUAAAAAAUCUGCAUAUAAAUGGACACAGUUCAAACCCAUGUCGUUCAAGUCUCAAUUGUAUACAGUUUAUGUAUAUACAGAGAGAGAGAGAGAGAGGGAGAACUACUGUAAGGAACUGGCCCACACACUCAAGAAGGCUAAGAAGUCUAAGAUCUGUAGUCCCAGGUCAAGGAUAGUGAGGCAGAGAGAAAGAAUUCAUCUAACUCAUGGUUAUUAAAUUAACCAUCACACUGUCUUCUCUCUUUUUUCCCCUUUCCUGUUUUGGUCUCUAUCUUUAUUUUUAGGGGCUUUUCCCAGAUGUGUAGUGAUCCUUGGUUUUCCAUUUAUAUUUUAGAACGGGGAGCUGCUGGGAAUCUCUGAGCACGAGGGGGAGCUGUCCAUGUGGGCUUCCCGGUGUGGCGAUCCGACGAGGCUGUUGGCUUUGUAUAACCUCUAGUCUGCUAUCUUUAGGUCUCUCCCGAAAAUAAGCUUUCAGCCCCUGCCGGGUGGAUACCAUCCACGCUACUCGUGAUCUGGGAGCCAAGCCAGUGUGGAGUGGGGAGAAUCUCAACAUUUGGCACGGUUCUUUCCUCCGAGACAAGCUAACAUAUCUAUAAGGACUCCUUUACAAAGGUGUUUAUUAGCAGCAUGAUUUGUAACACUAAAUAUUAGAAACAGUCUACACCACGGUUCAGCCACCGUGACCCAUGGAUCAAAUCCAGCCUUUCUCCUAUUUUGGUAAGUAAAGUUGCACUGAAGCACAGCCACACCCACGUACACAUUGUUUAUAUUUCCUUUCAUGCUCUCACAGCAGAGACUAUGGCCAGCAAAGCCUAGAGUAUUCUCUAACUGGUCCUUUAAUAAAAAGUUUGCUGACCCCUGGUCCAAAUGACUAGUGAGAAAAUGGAUAAGCCAACUAAAGUACAUCACACGACAAAAUAGAAUAUAGUCAAUGGACAUUAUAUAUAGGAAGUGUUUUUAAACUGGUGAAAAAUACGCAUAACAAAAUUUAUCAUCAACCAUUUUUAAGUGGACAGUUCAGUAGCGUUAACUGUAUUCACAUUGUUAAAGAGCUUUGCAACAUUUUCAUCUUGCUGGGCGCCUGGGUGGCUUAGUCGGUUAAGCAUCGGACUCUUGAUUUCAGCUCAGGUCAUGCUCUCAUGGUUCGUGAGAUCGAGCCCCAUGUUGGGCUCUGCACUGACAGUGCGGAAACUGCUUGGGAUUCUCUCUUUCUGUCUCUGUCUCUGUCUCUCUCUCUCUGUCCCUCCCCCACUCACUCAUGCUCUCUCUCUCAAAAUAAAUAAACAUUGUUUUUAAUUGAAAAAAAAAAAAAAGAACAUUUUCAUCUUGUAAAUCUGAAACAUUGUACCCACUUAAUGCCAUUUUCCUUUUCGCCUCCCCUCCCUAGGCUCUGGUGAGCACCAUUAUACCUUACGUUUCUGUGAAUUUGACUACUUCAGUGAUCUCAUAUAAGCAGAAUCGUAUCGUUUUUUGUCUUUUUUUGCAACGGACUUAUUUUAUUUAGUGUGACAUCCUCAAAGUUUAUCCAUGUUGUAGCAUGUAACAGGAUUUCAUUCCUUCUUAAAGCUGAAUAAAAUUCCACUUUGUGUAUAUACCACA